GACGAACGCUGGCGGCGUGCUUAACACAUGCAAGUCGAGCGGGUUUAGCUUUCGGGCUAGAUCAGCGGCGGACGGGUGCGUAACGCGUGAAUAAUCUGUCCUUGCUAGGGGGAUAACGAUUGGAAACAGUCGCUAAUACCGCAUAAGACCACGGGAGGGAGUCCUUCUGGGGUAAAAGGAGUAACAUCUGAGCGAGGGUGAGUUCGCGUCCCAUUAGGUAGUUGGCGAGGUAAAUGCUCACCAAGCCUGCGAUGGGUAGCCGAUCUGAGAGGAUGACCGGCCACACUGGAACUGAGAAACGGUCCAGACUCCUACGGGAGGCAGCAGUGGGGAAUAUUGGGCAAUGGGCGAAAGCCUGACCCAGCGACGCCGCGUGAGGGAAGAAGGCCUUCGGGUUGUAAACCUCUGUCCCAUGUGAAGAGGAGAAGACGGUAGCAUGGGAGGAAGCCCCGGCUAACUACGUGCCAGCAGCCGCGGUAAUACGUAGGGGGCGAGCGUUGUCCGGAAUGACUGGGCGUAAAGGGCGUGUAGGCGGCCGAAUAAGUAUCAGGUGGAAGUCCCGAAUUCAAAGCGGGAAUUGCCUGGUAGACUGUUUGGCUUGAGUGUCGGAGAGGUAAGUGGAAUUCCCGGUGUAGCGGUGAAAUGCGUAGAGAUCGGGAGGAACACCAGUGGCGAAGGCGACUUACUGGACGAAGACUGACGCUGAGACGCGAAAGCGUGGGUAGCAAACAGGAUUAGAUACCCUGGUAGUCCACGCUGUAAACGAUGGAUGCUAGGUGUAGGAGGUAUCGACCCCUUCUGUGCCGUAGUUAACUCAAUAAGCAUCCCGCCUGGGGAGUACGGCCGCAAGGUUGAAACUCAAAGGAAUUGACGGGACCCCGCACAAGCAGCGGAGCAUGUGGUUUAAUUCGACGCAACGCGAAGAACCUUACCAGGUCUUGACAUCGACGGAACCUUAAGAGAUUAGGGGUGCCUGCAAGGGAGCCGGAAGACAGGUGGUGCAUGGUUGUCGUCAGCUCGUGUCGUGAGAUGUUGGGUUAAGUCCCGCAACGAGCGCAACCCUUGUCGUCAGUUACUAACGGGUGAAGCCGAGGACUCUGACGAGACUGCCGUGGACAACACGGAGGAAGGUGGGGAUGACGUCAAAUCAUCAUGCCCCUUAUGACCUGGGCUACACACGUGCUACAAUGGCCGGAACAAAGUGGAACGAAACCGUAAGGUGGAGUGGAUCACAAAAACCGGUCUCAGUUCAGAUUGUGGGCUGCAACCCGCCCACAUGAAGUAGGAGUUGCUAGUAAUCGCGAAUCAGCAUGUCGCGGUGAAUACGUUCCCGGG
rnacentral:rRNA from 1 species